rnacentral:piRNA from 1 species
UAGAUAAAUGUUGCACAGAAUGGGA